AUGUUAGUUUUUACUUCAUGACAGCCUUUAUUAGCACACACUAACAAAAUCACAGCAGAGACAUGUAUUACAAAAAGAAGUUGUGGAUAAAAAAAAGAAAAACAUGAGCAAAAAUUACUAAUCUCAAGAAUAAAACUUGCAACAGUCUCGUAAAAGAAUGCAUCUAAACUGCCUUACCGCUAUUUCACCUACGGAAUAGUAGGAUUCUCACUGAUUUUCUUGAUUCUGUCCGUUUCUCAUAAUGGGAUUCUCUUGAUGCUGGCAUUAAUUUUUCAGGAGUUGUUCAAAAAGUAUGGAAUUUUAUAACACUCUUGCCAUUGAGAAUACUGCAAGUUAUAUUUUUCAUUCCUUCCUACGGAUCUAUCUACUACCUACUACCUGCGGCUGUCUCUGUGGCAUUUCUGGAACCUUUGAGAGCUCCUACUAGGAAGGUGCCCUUUGUUCUGUUUCGGGAAGAUUCCAGGAGAUUAGAAGGGAGCUGUUUGGAAUCAUAAUUCAGAACCCUGAGUUUCAUUUUUGUUUCGGAUUCUGCUGAAGAGGUGGCAACAUGGGAAUAGAUCAACGCAUUACUGAUGAAAUCUGCAAUUGAUUUGCUCCAGCAGCAGCUGAGACUGAAACUGAUCUGGAGAAGACAUUUCAAGAGCUGAAGUGCAUUGACACAAUGUUUUACUGACUGGAGCAAAAAAUGCCCAAGCAGCAGGAAACUUGAAUUGCUCUUCUUCAGGUAUGGGAAGUGUCCUUGUCAUCUAGCAAACUACUGGAGCUCCAGGAGGACAUGCUCAGCUUUAUUCCCCAGCUGCAGAACACAGCUGGAUGCUGCCUAGCCACCCCUAUCCCCUUCUCCCAAGUGGCAAAUGACAUUGGAAAUGUUCUUUGGUAUUGAUAUUUCAUUUCUUUUUAUCUUUGAUUUUGCCCAACCCGUGAGAUUGCCACAUUUAUAUUCAAAGCUUUCUUUCUUUCUUCUCAACCACUGUUAUGUCUGGCACAUUAUGUUCUAAUUGUUUCACGGUUUGAGUCAAAAAGUCCCACUGGAUUCUUAUAUCACUAUUUUUGACAACUUUUUCAGACUUCUAUUCCCAUCAGUCCUUCACAGGUGGUAAACGUAUUUGUUUUGUUGUG